rnacentral:rRNA from 1 species
GGACGAACGCUGGCGGCGUGCCUAAUACAUGCAAGUUGAGCGAUGAAGAUUGGUGCUUGCACCCAUUUGACGAGCAGCGAACGGGUGAGUAACGCGUGGGGACUCUGCCUUUGAGCGGGGGACAACAUUUGGCAACGAAUGCUAAUACCGCAUAACAACUUUAAACAUACGUUUUACGUUUGAAAGAUGCACUUGCAUCACUCAAAGAUGAUCCCGCGUUGUAUUAGCUAGUUGGUGAGGUAAAGGCUCACCAAGGCGAUGAUACAUAGCCGACCUGAGAGGGUGAUCGGCCACAUUGGGACUGAGACACGGCCCAAACUCCUACGGGAGGCAGCAGUAGGGAAUCUUCGGCAAUGGACGAAAGUCUGACCGAGCAACGCCGCGUGAGUGAAGAAGGUUUUCGGAUCGUAAAACUCUGUUGGUAGAGAAGAACGUUGGUGAGAGUGGAAAGCUCAUCAAGUGACGGUAACUACCCAGAAAGGGACGGCUAACUACGUG